rnacentral:rRNA from 1 species
AUUGAACGCUGGCGGCAGGCUUAACACAUGCAAGUCGAGCGGUAACAUUUCUAGCUUGCUAGAAGAUGACGAGCGGCGGACGGGUGAGUAAUGCUUGGGAAUAUGCCUUAUGGUGGGGGACAACAGUUGGAAACGACUGCUAAUACCGCAUAACGUCUACGGACCAAAGGGGGGGAUCUUCGGACCUCUCGCCAUUUGAUUAGCCCAAGUGAGAUUAGCUAGUUGGUGAGGUAAUGGCUCACCAAGGCGACGAUCUCUAGCUGGUUUGAGAGGAUGAUCAGCCACACUGGGACUGAGACACGGCCCAG